ACGACGGAUACUUCCUUGAUCUGGCGGUUGCGGGUUCGAGUCCCGCCCGGCUCCGGCCGGUAGCUCAAGCGGGUAGAGCACCAGAAUGUUCUCCGUCGUCGA
rnacentral:Y_RNA from 1 species